rnacentral:rRNA from 1 species
AUGGACCAUGGCGGCGGCAGCGGUGGGGGCGGAAGUGGAGGCGGGGGCGGGGGCGGGGGCGGAGCGCCGUCGAGCAGCAACAGCGGCGGGGGGAGCGCCGGGGGAACGAGCGGAAGCCGUGGCGGCGGCAGCGACCACCAUCCGCACCACCCAUUCUACUACGCUGGCCCAGCGGAGCCCAACAACGUGCAGCAGCAGCCGCAGCCACAGCGGUUCAUUGGGUCGCUCGCCAUAACCCCCGUCGUCACCGACCAGGCCCCGGCUUCCUCGGCGGAAAAGAAGGCGGUCGCGCCAGUGACUCCAUCGGCCGGCGCACUGGCGAAGCGGCCAUCCAAGGACCGGCACACCAAGGUGGAUGGCCGGGGAAGGAGGAUACGGAUGCCGGCUCUGUGCGCGGCGCGGGUAUUCCAGCUUACGCGGGAGCUCGGCCACAAGUCCGACGGCGAGACCAUCGAGUGGCUGCUGCAGCAGGCGGAGCCAGCCAUCCUCGCCGCCACCGGUACCGGCACCAUCCCGGCCAACUUCUCCUCCCUCAACAUCAGUCGCGCGGCCUCCGGCACCACCCGCCCCGCGCCAUUCCCCGCCCUCGCGCUCCACCCCCACCACCACCACCACCAGUCGCCGCACCCGCAGCACGACAUGUCCACCAUGCUAGGUUACAACCACCUGCUCCCGCCGCCGCAGGAGCCGCCCCAGGACGCAAACAGUCCCGGUUCGUUCAUGAGGAAGCGGUACCGAGAGGACCUGUUCAAGGAGGACGACGAGCGCCAUGAUCCUAACGCGCCCAAGGCGCGCGAGCAGCAGGUGGCGCCGCCCGCCGCAAUGUGGGCCGUGGCGCCGAAUAGCGCGGCGCCUGGAGGCGCGUUCUGGAUGUUGCCCGUGUCCGCGAGCCAGGCUGCCACGGCUCGGCCGACCGAGCAGCCUAUGUGGUCUUUCGGCGGCGGUGGGGGGAGCAGCACCGUGCAGGCGCCGCUGCAGUUCAUGUCAACAAGGGUGAACUACCCCAGCAGCGGCGGCGCGAUGGGCGGCAUGCCGGACACCAGCAUCGGCAUGCUUGCUGGGCUCAAUGCUUACGACCGCGGCGUCGGAGGUACGGAAGAAGAGCAGCAGCAGCAGCAGCAGCAGGAGCAAGACCAGCAACAGGAAAUGGAGCAGCAGCGCGACGGCAGCGGCGGUGGCAACGAAGGCGAAGAGGACGGCGACGACGACAGCGGCGGAGAAGAGGAAGGCCAUGGCAACAACAGCUCACAGUAA